rnacentral:rRNA from 1 species
UACGAAGGGUGCAAGCGUUACUCGGAAUUACUGGGCGUAAAGCGUGCGUAGGUGGUUUGUUAAGUCUGAUGUGAAAGCCCUGGGCUCAACCUGGGAAUUGCAUUGGAUACUGGCAGGCUAGAGUGCGGUAGAGGAUGGCGGAAUUCCCGGUGUAGCAGUGAAAUGCGUAGAGAUCGGGAGGAACAUCUGUGGCGAAGGCGGCCAUCUGGACCAGCACUGACACUGAGGCACGAGAGCGUGGGGAGCAAACAGG